AUUCCGUGCCANCANCCGCGGUAAUACGGGAGUGGCAAGCGUUAUCCGGAAUUAUUGGGCGUAAAGCGUCCGCAGGCGGCUUUGUAAGUCUGCUGUCAAAGCGUGGANCUNAACUCCAUUUCGGCAGUGNAAACUACGAGGCUUGAGUGUGGUAGGGGCAGAGGGAAUUCCCGGUGUAGCGGUGAAAUGCGUAGAUNUCGGGAANAACACCNUUGGCGAAGGCGCUCUGCUGGGCCNUANCUGACGCUCAUGGACGAAAGC
rnacentral:rRNA from 1 species